CAGGGCGCUGUCGGAGGCCGGGCAGGAGCGCGAGCGGCGGCGCCGGGGGCAGGAGCUGGCCAAGCUGCGGGAAUGGCGGCGGGACGAGGAGCGGCGCCGCGCGGCCGAGGAGCGGCGGCGGGACCGGGCCGAGGAGCGCGCGGCGCGGCAGAGAGUGCGGGAGAAGAUCGAGAGGGACAAGGCGGAGCGAGCGCAGAGGUUCGCCGCGGCCCCCCCGGCCGAGCCCCCCAAGGCCGAGCCCCCCCAGGAGGCGCCAG